rnacentral:rRNA from 1 species
UACGUAGGGACCAAGCGUUGUUCGGAUUCAUUGGGCGUAAAGGGUGCGUAGGUGGCGCCGUAAGUCGGAUGUGAAAUCCUGAGGCUUAACCUCGGAACUGCAUUCGAUACUGCGGUGCUUGAGGACUGGAGAGGAGACUGGAAUUCAUGGUGUAGCAGUGAAAUGCGUAGAGAUCAUGAGGAAGGCCAGUGGCGAAGGCGGGUCUCUGGACAGUUCCUGACACUGAGGCACGGAGGCCAGGGGAGCAAACGGG